rnacentral:lncRNA from 1 species
AUGGGAAAGACUAGAGAUCUCUUCAAGAAAAUUAGAGAUACCAAGGGAACAUUUCAUGCAAAGAUGGGCACAAUAAAGGACAGAAAUGGUAUGGAUCUAACAGAAGCAGAAGAGAUUAAGAAGAGGUGGCAAGAAUACACAGAAGAACUGUACAAAAAAGAUAUUCACGACCAAGAUAAUCACGAUGGUGUGAUCAAUCACCUAGAGCCAGACAUCCUGGAAUGUGAAGUCAAGUGGGCCUUAGAAAGCAUCACUAUGAACACAGCUAGUGGAGGUGAUGGAAUUCCAGUUGAGCUAUUUCAAAUCCUGGAAGAUGAUGCUGUGAAAGUGCUGCACUCAAUAUGCCAGCAAAUUUGGAAAACUCAGCAGUGGCCACAGGACUGGAAAAGGUCAGUUUUCAUUCCAAUCCCAAAGAAAGGCAAUGCCAAAGAAUGCUCAAACUAUCUCACAAUUGUACCCAUCUCGCAUGCUUGUAAAGUAAUGCUCAAAAUUCUCCAAGCCAGGCUUCAGCAAUAUGUGAACCGUGAACUCCCUGAUGUUCAAGCUGGUUUUAGAAAAGGCAGAGGAACCAGAGAUCAAAUUGCCAACAUCCACUGGAUCGUGGAAAAAGUGAGAGAGUUCCAGAAAAACAUCUAUUUCUGCUUUCUUGACUAUGCCAAAGCCUUUGACUGUGUGGAUCACAAUAAACUGUGGAAAACUGUGAAAGACAUGGGAAUAACAGACCACCUGACCUGCCUCUUGAGAAAUCUGUAUGUAGGUCAGGAAACAACAGUUAGAACUGGACAUGGAACAACAGACUGGUUCCAAAUAGGAAAAGGAGUACGUCAAGGCUAUAUAUUGUCACCUUGCUUAUUUAACUUCUAUGCAGAGUACAUCAUGAGAUAUGCUGGGCUGGAAGUAACACAAGCUGGAAUUAAGAUUGCCAGGAGAAAUAUCAAGAACCUCAGAUAUACAGCUGACACCACCCUUAUGGCAGAAAGUGAAGAGGAACUAAAAAGCCUCUCGAUGAAAGUGAAAGAGGAGAGUGAAGAAGUUAGCUUAAAGCUCAACAUUCAGACAAUGAAGAUCAUGGCAUCUGGUCCCAUCACUUCAUGGGAAAUAGAUGGGGAAACAGUGGAAAUAGUGUCAGACUUUAUUUUGGGGGGCUCCAAAAUCACUGCAGAUGGUGACUGCAGCCAUGAAAUUAAAAGAUGCUUACUUCUUGGAAGGAAAGUUAUGACCAACCUAGAUAGCAUAUUCAAAAGCAGAGACAUUACUUUGCCAACUAAGGUCCAUCUAGUCAAAGCUAUGGUUUUUCCAGUAGUCAUGUAUGGAUGUAAGAGUUGGACUGUGAAGAAAGCUGACUGCUGA